GCUACCCCUCUCUGAUUCAGCAAGCACCUGAAGCGUGAGAGUCUUGACGUGGCUGACCUGGCAUCUUCUGCAAGCUUCUCAAUUGGAGUCCACAAUCUCUCUUCAAGCCAAUGCAGUUUAAGUGGAUUGCUACUUGAAUGCAAGAAGAGCCUGUUUGGCAUAAGGGAGAGGAUAUCACAUUUUGUCUAACCUAUGAGAAGACCCCGGUAAGGAAAUCUGGGUGCAUCAGUAAUCAUCCACGGAGCCGAGUUGAGUUCAAUAAGCCUUGAUGUGAAAUCAAAGUAACACAGUUGGCUAAAUGUCUGCAGACAUGAGUAAUUUGCUGUGAGGUCACCUCAUAGAAGAUCUAGUGUUGAGAGGAUCACAGUAGGUUACCUGCAAGGCAUGAAGUGCUCCGAAAACUGUUUGAGCCUACAAAAUUUUGCAAGGACACUGGCAAACAAUGAUGACUACGGAGAGAAGAGUUUCAGUAACUACGAGUAGCUGAUCAGGUUGUACGACUCAUCUACCCCAAAGUUGAGCUGCAGAAGAUGAAGAGCAUCAACAGAAUCAGACCUUGCAAUUUGUAAAAGAACUCAACAGUUCAUCAUAUCGAACGGGCAGGUUACCUCAUCUUCUGUUGAAUGAACAGCUA